rnacentral:lncRNA from 1 species
CUGGGGAAGAUGUUUCUCAGCAACAGUGCUACCCUGCUGGACAGCUGGUGAUUUUUACCAUAAAACAAGAUAGUAAUAAGGAUAGAAUGAGACACCACCGGCUUUGCUCCAUCCCUUUGGGAAGACAGCACACCCAGAGCUCAAGUCUGCUGCUCAUUCUGGAAGGGGAGAUGUCCUGGGCCCAGGGUUUGGAAAUGUCUUCUUGGACAAGCUUAAGCCGUCUCAUUGAAGAUUUUCAAUGGCCUUUCGGAAUUACGGGACUUACCCAGCUCUGCCAGGUUUAUUAAUCCAGCCUAUAAGCUUCUCUAGACCUAGGACUAUGGUGCCUGCACAGAAGAUGUGCUCAACAUAUAACUGAUUAAAUAACUUAAUGAGUAAAUGAAGGACUGGACUCGUUUGUGGGCCAUAUUUGGAGGUGACUUUGUAAACUCUAACAGCAUGGGAUUUUAAUAAGCUGUCUUCAUAGCUUGGACCAUGAACUUGUCUGAGGCAACAAAGAGAGCAAAGAGAAAGAUAAAGAUGGAGUCCUCAAAGAAUAAACAUGAUUAAGAGCAGAGCCCACAGCUCCAGAUGUGAAAACCAUGACUCGAUUGUCAGUGAGGAGAGACUGGUCCCUGGGGUUUGCUGACCUCCCAGGGAGCAAUGCAUUUCAGAGAGCUGUCAGAGCAGUUUUCUUCUUUAAGCCCUGGUUUGUUAAUUAUUAUUUUUUAUUAUUUAAAAAAUGUUUUCUAUCGAUACAUAAUAUUUGUAUAUAUUUGUGGAGCAGAUUUUAGAUUGCAGAAUUCAAUGGUCUAAGGGAGAAGAGAUGAACAAGCUUGAUGUAACAAGGAAGGUUAAGAGUGAUAUUUAAAUGGAAAGGGAAGUAUAUAUUUUAUUGUUUCCUGUUGCUGUAAUAAAUUAUCAAAAAUUGUCAUAAACUUAUAAACUGGCACAUUUAUAAACUCACAAACUUAUAAACUUAUAAACUGCCUUAAAAUAACAUGAAUUUAUUAUUUUACAGUUCUGGAGGUCAGAAGUCCAAGAUGGGUCUCCCUGGGCUAAAAUCAAGGUGUUGGGAGGCUGUGUUCCUUUCUGGAGGCUCUAACGGGGAAUCUGUUCUCUUGCCUUUUCCAACUUCUCAAAGCUGCAUGUGUUUCUUGGCUCGUGACUCCACACCACCCUGAUUUCUGCUUCCAUUGUUGCAUCUCCUUCUCCGACUCUGACCCUUCUGCCACCCUUUUAUGAGGAUCCCUGCUGUUAACAAUAUGUUCAUCAAAUAAUACAGAGUAAUUUCUCCUGCUUAAGAUCCUCAACAUUAUCACAUUUGCAAAGUCCCUUUUGCCAUCUAAGCUGACAUAUCCACAGGUUCCCGGUAUUGAUGUGUGGACACCUUUGGGGCAUGGGCGUUAUUCUGCCUACCAGUUUCCUAUUGCUUCUGUAACAAAUUACCAUAAAUGAAGUGGUUCAAAACAAUGCAGAAGUAUGAUAUUAUGGUCCUAGACAUUAGAAAUGCAAAAUGGGCUUAAGUGGGCUAAACUCAGGGUGUUGUUAGGAAUGCAUUCCUUUCUGGAGGCUAUAGGGCAGAAUCUAUUUCCUUGCCUUUUCCAGUUUCUAGAGGCUACCUGUAUUCAUUGCUUCGUGGUUUCCUUCCAUUUUUAGAGCCAGUAAAGGUCAGUCCAGUCUUUUUCACAUCGCACCACUCUGACACUGACAGUUCUGUAUCCCUCUUCCACUUACGAGGACCCUUGUCAUUCCAUUAGGCCCACCCAGGCAAUCCAGGGUAAUCUUCUGUCUUAAGGUCAACUGAUUAGCAACCUCAAUUCCAUCUGUAACGUUAAUUCUCCUUUGCCUUGAAACCUAACGUUUUUACAAGUUCUGGGGAUUAGGACAUGGAUAUAUUUGGGUGAGGGUCAUUAAUUUCCCUGCCACAAAUAUUAUCCUAUCGGAACUCCUAGUUCAAGAUACCAUUAACUCCAUUUUAUGGGUAAAGAAGCCCACUCAGAAGGGAGGUGCCUUACCCAAGGACACAGUUAUUUUCGGAAGCAGACUUAGAAUAGAACCCAAUUCUCUAUGACCCCAAAGCUUGGCUCUUUCCACUGAAAAUAUUAGAUACUGAAUGUGACUGAAAAUAUGCAGUGUCUAUCAUAGGCUGUAAAGACUGAUUAAAAUGAGAAGGGUCCUAAAGAAGAAUAUGGGAAUGUUCCCAAAAGAUCAGGGAAAGUCUCUUUUGUUGAGAAGCUUCUGAGAAACUAUCAAGCAUGCCAAAGAAGAGAGGGAGCAAGAAAUAAUACAGAAAAAAGAAAAAUAAAAAAAGAUUUCCAUAAAGCUUAGGACCAGGCAAAAGAUUUGGUGCUUCAAAUGCUUCUGCAAAUUUUUUUUGAUGAUGUCAUCAUACUAAUGGGAACUGGGAGAAAAGUUCUUUGAUCAGUGUUUGCAAAUUUCCUAAACCUUGGGUUAGUAUCUGACUGCUGUGUUUUAUUUGAUGUUAAUGAUUGAUAUAGUUUGGCUCUGUGUCCUCACCCAAAUUUCAUGUCAAAUUGUAAUUCCCAAUGU